rnacentral:rRNA from 1 species
GACGAACGCUGGCGGCGUGCUUAACACAUGCAAGUCGAACGGAAAGGCCCUGCUUUUGUGGGGUGCUCGAGUGGCGAACGGGUGAGUAACGCGUGAGUAACCUGCCCUUGACUUUGGGAUAACUUCAGGAAACUGGGGCUAAUACCGGAUAGGAGCUCCUGCUGCAUGGUGGGGGUUGGAAAGUUUCGGCGAUUGGGGAUGGACUCGCGGCUUAUCAGCUUGUUGGUGGGGUAGUGGCUUACCAAGGCUUUGACGGGUAGCCGGCCUGAGAGGGUGACCGGCCACAUUGGGACUGAGAUACGGCCCAGACUCCUACGGGAGGCAGCAGUGGGGAAUAUUGCACAAUGGGCGGAAGCCUGAUGCAGCAACGCCGCGUGCGGGAUGACGGCCUUCGGGUUGUAAACCGCUUUCGCCUGUGACGAAGCGUGAGUGACGGUAAUGGGUAAAGAAGCACCGGCUAACUACGUG